rnacentral:snoRNA from 1 species
AGGUCAUUGCAAAGAAGGCAAAUGGGACCAAAUCUGGGAACCCUUAAUGCUGUGACCAAAGACUGAGUUCUUCCUUGGGUAUCACAGUCACUCGAGGCUGCUAUGCUUUCCUCAUAGAGAUACAGGC